rnacentral:rRNA from 1 species
UACGUAGGAGGCAAGCGUUGUCCGGAAUUACUGGGCGUAAAGCGCGUGUAGGUGGUGGGACAAGUCUGCUGUGAAAGCGCCUGGCUUAACCGGGCGAGGUCGGCGGAAACUGCCCGGCUCGAGGACGGUAGAGGGGGGUGGAAUUCCCGGUGUAGUGGUGAAAUGCGUAGAGAUCGGGAGGAACACCUGUGGCGAAGGCGGCCCCCUGGGCCGGCCCUGACACUGAGACGCGAAGGCGUGGGGAGCGAACGGG